rnacentral:SRP_RNA from 2 species
GCCGGGCGUGGUGGUGCACGCCUGUAAUCCCAGCUACUUGGGAGGCUGAGGCAGGAGAAUCGCUUGAAGCCAGGAGGUGGAGGUUGCAGUGAGCUGAGAUCACGCCACUGCACUCCAGCCUGGGCAACACGGCAAGACUCUGUCUCAA